AUUGAACGCUGGCGGCAUGCCUUACACAUGCAAGUCGAACGGUAACAGGUCUUCGGAUGCUGACGAGUGGCGAACGGGUGAGUAAUACAUCGGAACGUGCCCAGACGUGGGGGAUAACGAGGCGAAAGCUUUGCUAAUACCGCAUACGAUCUAAGGAUGAAAGCAGGGGACCGCAAGGCCUUGUGCGUUUGGAGCGGCCGAUGGCAGAUUAGGUAGUUGGUGGGAUAAAAGCUUACCAAGCCGACGAUCUGUAGCUGGCCUGAGAGGACGACCAGCCACACUGGGACUGAGACACGGCCCAGACUCCUACGGGAGGCAGCAGUGGGGAAUUUUGGACAAUGGGCGAAAGCCUGAUCCAGCAAUGCCGCGUGCAGGAUGAAGGCCUUCGGGUUGUAAACUGCUUUUGUACGGAACGAAAAGGCUCUGGCUAAUACCUGGGGCACAUGACGGUACCGUAAGAAUAAGCACCGGCUAACUACGUG
rnacentral:rRNA from 1 species